rnacentral:rRNA from 1 species
ACGGGGUGCAGCAGGCGCGAAAUCUUCACAAUGUGCGAAAGCACGAUGAGGGAAUCCCAAGUGCUGGCACGUAAGUGUCAGCUGUUUCUUUGUCUAAAAAACAAAGAGAGUAAGAGCUGGGUAAGACGGGUGCCAGCCGCCGCGGUAAUACCUGCAGCUCAAGUGGUGGCCGCUAUUAUUGGGCCUAAAACGUCCGUAGCCGGUUUAGUAAAUGCUUGGGUAAAUUGUGUAGCUUAACUAUACGAAUACCGGGUAGACUGCUAAACUUGGGACCGGGAGAGGCUAGAGGUACUCCUAGGGUAGAGGUGAAAUUCUGUAAUCCUAGGGGGACCACCAGUGGCGAAGGCGUCUAGCUAGAACGGGUCUGACGGUGAGGGACGAAGCCCUGGGGCGCAAACCGGAUUAGAUACCCGGGUAGUCCAGGGUGUAAACGCUGCUUGCUUGAUGUUAGUUGGGCUCCGAGCCCAACUAGUGUCGGAGAGAAGUUGUUAAGCAAGCUGCCUGGGAAGUACGUCGCAAGAC